rnacentral:lncRNA from 1 species
UUUAUUUUACAGCAAUCUAAAUGCAGUAACAACUAUUGAGAGCACAUGUCAUUUUUAAUGGUGAACAACGAUACUCAAAUAAACAAGGAAGCCUUAUACGACAAGUUUGUUUCUGCCUCACUGUUGAGCUUCAGUUGUAAGCGUUAAUUUAACACCGUCUUUAAAUGAAACAGGAUUAAUAUUUAGAGUUUGAACCAAUCUAGU